UACCGAGGUCUCAACCGUUGUUCGGAUUCAUUGGGCGUAAAGGGUGCGUAGGCGGCGGGGUAAGUCAGGUGUGAAAUCUCGGGGCUCAACCCCGAAACUGCACUUGAUACUGCCUCGCUUGAGUACUGGAGAGGAGACUGGAAUUUACGGUGUAGCAGUGAAAUGCGUAGAUAUCUGGAGGAACACCGGUGGCGAAGGCGGCAUCCUGGACCAAUUCUGACGCUGAGGAGCGAAAGCCAGGGGAGCAAACGGG
rnacentral:rRNA from 1 species